rnacentral:rRNA from 1 species
GUCAAGGAUGGACUCGCGGCCUAUCAGGUAGUUGGUGAGGUAAUAGCUCACCAAGCCUACGACGGGUAGCCGGCCUGAGAGGGUGACCGGCCACACUGGAACUGAGACACGGUCCAGACUCCUACGGGAGGCAGCAGUGGGGAAUAUUGCACAAUGGGCGCAAGCCUGAUGCAGCAACGCCGCGUGAGGGACGACGGCCUUCGGGUUGUAAACCUCUUUUAGUAGGGAAGAAGCGAAAGUGACGGUACCUGCAGAAAAAGCACCGGCUAACUACGUGCCAGCAGCCGCGGUAAUACGUAGGGUGCAAGCGUUAUCCGGAAUUAUUGGGCGUAAAGAGCUCGUAGGCGGUUUGUCGCGUCUGCUGUGAAAACUGGGGGCUCAACCCCCAGCCUGCAGUGGGUACGGGCAGACUAGAGUGCGGUAGGGGAGAUUGGAAUUCCUGGUGUAGCGGUGGAAUGCGCAGAUAUCAGGAGGAACACCAAUGGCGAAGGCAGAUCUCUGGGCCGUUACUGACGCUGAGGAGCGAAAGCAUGGGGAGCGAACAGGAUUAGAUACCCUGGUAGUCCAUGCCGUAAACGUUGGGAACUAGAUGUAGGGGCCAUUCCACGGUUUCUGUGUCGCAGCUAACGCAUUAAGUUCCCCGCCUGGGGAGUACGGCCGCAAGGCUAAAACUCAAAGGAAUUGACGGGGGCCCGCACAAGCGGCGGAGCAUGCGGAUUAAUUCGAUGCAACGCGAAGAACCUUUCCAAGACUUGACAUAUACGAGAACGGGCUAGAAA